UACGUAGGGUGCGAGCGUUGUCCGGAAUUAUUGGGCGUAAAGAGCUCGUAGGCGGCCUGUCGCGUCGGAUGUGAAAAGCCCCGGGGGCUUAACCCCGGGUCUGCAUUCGAUACGGGGCAGGCUAGAGUUCGGUAGGGGGAGAUCGGAAUUCCUGGUGUAGCGGUGAAAUGCGCAGAUAUCAGGAGGAACACCGGUGGCGAAGGCGGAUCUCUGGGCCGAUACUGACGCUGAGGAGCGAAAGCGUGGGGGAGCGAACAGG
rnacentral:rRNA from 1 species